CCUACGGGAGGCAGCAGUGAGGAAUUUUGCGCAAUGGGCGAAAGCCUGACGCAGCGACGCCGCGUGGAGGAUGAAGGCCUUCGGGUUGUAAACUCCUGUUAGAGGGGAAGAAGCCCCGCAAGGGGUUGACGGUACCCUCAGAGGAAGCCCCGGCCAACUACGUGCCAGCAGCCGCGGUAAGACGUAGGGGGCAAGCGUUGUCCGGAAUUACUGGGCGUAAAGAGCGCGUAGGCGGUUUAUUAAGUCAGAUGUGAAAGUCUUAGGCUCAACCUGAGAAUUGCAUCUGAAACUGAUAGACUAGAGUCCAAUAGAGGAGAGUGGAAUUCCCGGUGUAGCGGUGAAAUGCGCAGAUAUCGGGAGGAACACCAGUGGCGAAGGCGGCUCUCUGGAUUGCGACUGACGCUGAGGCGCGAAAGCUAGGAGAGCAAACAGGAUUAGAUCCCCGGGUAGU
rnacentral:rRNA from 1 species